UGGAUUAAUUUCACAAUCUUGGUUUAAUAUUUCUGAAGAUUUUAUAUUAAAUGUAUCAUAUUUUGGAAUAUAUUUAAAAUGAACUUUUCUCCAAUUGUUUCAUUUCGGAAUAUAUUGGUUUUGAUAUAAUUCGUAUCCAUGAUCUUUGUAUCCUUGAUAUUCAUCAUGUGUUGUCAUAUGGAUUUUCGUAGGGAUUUUCAUCACUACUAUAGUCUAAGACAAUUUUUUCAGUUUCAUCAUGUUGUUCUUCUUCGGGUAUAUUAAGAGCAGCUAAUAAUGUUGAUAAUUUUUCUAUCUAAUCAUCUAAUCCUUCUAUUAUAUUUUUGGUGGUGAUCUAAUUCGAAGAUUAGUUUGCAUGAUCACAGCGGGUACAUCAACUAGUGCAAUGCUUAAACACUUGAGGAUAUGUAAAAAGGCUCCCCCUGAUGAUAGUGAGGAUCACAGAGCUAGUAAGAGAUUGAAGCAAACGACAUUGUUUCAUGAGCCAAAAAGUGACUCUUCAGUAGGAAUUCCAUCUUUUAUGACAUUUGAUCAGGAAAAAUCCCGAAGAGCCUUAGUGAUGAUGAUCACUAUAGAUGAGUUGUCAUUUAGGUUUGUUGAAAAGGAGGGAUUCAUCUUAUUUAUGAGGAUUGUCCAGCCCCAUUUUAUUAUCCCGUCAUGUGCUCUCGGUCGUGCUCUCCGUCAGGUCUUAGUUUUGUCGUCGAGUGACGAACACAGACCGGUAUCUCCAUCUCUGGCUUACUCUCUCUCACUCUCAGUUCGGUAUCUCCGCCGUGCUCUCGGUCUCUGAUUUACUCUGUCUCGAUUCGGUCCCUGCCUUGCACUCCUUGGUUUAGUCUCUUUGUCUCUGCCUUGCUCUCCAAUUCGAGGUGACGGUGAAGCUCCUUUCUCCUUGUUCCUGGGUGAAGAGACCGAACCAACGUCUCCUUGUUUCAGGUGACGGUGAAGCUCCUUGUUGUUUCAGCCGAAGAAGAUAGAGAGGAUUUAUGUCUUCUACGACAGACCAUUCAAAUUCAGAGGAAAACAUUGCGAUGUCCCGACCAAACACUUCAGGUUUCUAUGGCUCCUCAAGCAACUGAACCGGAGCCUUCGGGUGCUGACAUUAAGGUACCUAAAAUUAAAUUUGAUUGAUGAGCACAUCGGGCCCAACAACAUCUCGAAACGAAGAUCUUGACGAAAGCAUACAUCAGAUCGAAGCCACCAAGUAAAAGGAAGUUGCUUGGAGUGCAAGACAAUUACCCAAAGGAAGCUUCUUCAUCAUCAAGGC